CUCCUGGCUGAGGUCCCACGAGCAGCGGGGAGAGUGUGUGUGAGUGUGUGUGUGUGUGCGUGUGUGUGUGUGUGUGUGUGUGUGUGUGUGUGCGCAGAGAGCGGGACAUCGCUAGCACAACUUCUCACCCUUGGAAGCGUUUCCACUUUUCUGCUACGUCGACAACUUUUUACUCUACGCCGCCGAUCCUCCAAACUGCCAACGUGGGAAGUGUGGGAUACAUGUUUGUCAGCCUCAGCGUUCACAAAAACGAGCCAACAAAGCUUUGGAGACGGCGACAUGCAGCGUGGUUUCUCUCAGGCAUGAGUGGAUAAGUCAACGACAGCCAGAACGGCGUGAUCAAGUGCUUCUCUGGCGAGUUCAAAAAGGCCGCAGACCCAGUUGUGUUUUGAAGAAGGUGGAGAUGAUCACUCACAGUAUUUCUGGAACAUCGCUCCUUCUGGUGUGUUUCCAACGUGAGGGUAGGUGUUCUGACACACCUGGGGCGUCUCAAAAGAAACAUCCCAUGUGUCAUUCUGGAUUUUCAUCCGCAGACUCGCUUUUUUGCAAUACAGACAAUAAACGAUAUGAAUCUGAGGUGUCCGAAGUGCGGCCCGCAGCUCAUUUUUUAACGGCCAUUGGCACAUUCUAAAAAGUCUAUUCCAAAAAAAAAACGUAAAAAAGUGGAGUAUAAGAGCAAAAUGUAAAGAGGAAAAGUUGCAAUGUUGACUCUAAUAACACAAUAAUGCAGGCUGUUUUUUUAAAAACUGUCCAUCAAAA